AGAGCGAACGCUGGCGGCAGGCCUAACACAUGCAAGUCGAACGAACUCUUCGGAGUUAGUGGCGGACGGGUGAGUAACACGUGGGAACGUGCCUUUAGGUUCGGAAUAACUCAGGGAAACUUGUGCUAAUACCGAAUGUGCCCUUCGGGGGAAAGAUUUAUCGCCUUUAGAGCGGCCCGCGUCUGAUUAGCUUGUUGGUGGGGUAAUGGCCCACCAAGGCUACGAUCAGUAGCUGGUCUGAGAGGAUGACCAGCCACAUUGGGACUGAGACACGGCCCAAACUCCUACGGGAGACAGCAGUGGGGAAUCUUGCGCAAUGGGCGAAAGCCUGACGCAGCCAUGCCGCGUGUAUGAUGAAGGUCUUAGGAUUGUAAAAUACUUUCACCGGUGAAGAUAAUGACUGUAGCCGGAGAAGAAGCCCCGGCUAACUUCGCGCCAGCAGCCGC
rnacentral:rRNA from 1 species